rnacentral:rRNA from 1 species
UGGUGGAGUGAUUUGUCUGGUUAAUUCCGAUAACGAGCGAGACCUCCGUCCGUUUUUUGAUCCAGCCGCGUGAGCGGAUGGUAAUUUUUUACGGAGACUGACUAUGGUUAAUAGUCGGAAGCUGGAGGCAAUAACA